rnacentral:misc_RNA from 1 species
GCAAUGCGACAUUCCUUAUAACUUUUCGGCUGCUUGCAGUCAAUCUCGUGUAUGUCAGAUGGCUGUUGAUGCAAGGAAAGAUCGGAUGCGUUGCAGCAGCUCGGCUUUCACAGAAUCUGGAACUGAGGCUCUGCCUUUUGGAGUAAUGACCUGCACAAGGUCAUCAACACUAACAUUGUUCCUUCCUUUCUUCCGUACAUAUGCCCUGCAAAGUGC